AGGAUUAACGCUGGCGGCGUGCCUAACACAUGCAAGUCGAACGAGGUAGCAAUACCUAGUGGCAGACGGGUGAGUAACGCGUGGUCAACCUACCAUUGAGCGGGGGAUAACUAACCGAAAGGUUAGCUAAUACCGCAUACGUGACCGGGGGGCAUCCCCUGGUUAUAAAAGGAGCAAUCCACUCGAUGACGGGACCGCGUCCCAUUAGCUAGUUGGUGGGGUAACGGCCUACCAAGGCACCGAUGGGUAGCUGGUUUGAGAGAGCGACCAGCCACACUGGGACUGAGAAACGGCCCAGACUCCUACGGGAGGCAGCAGUGAGGAAUUUCCGCAAUGGGCGAAAGCCUGACGGAGCGACGCCGCGUGUGGGAAGAAGGCCUUCGGGUCGUAAACCACUGUCGAAGGGACGAUAAUGACGGUACCUUGGAGGAAGCCCGGCUAACUACGCGCCAGCAGCCGC
rnacentral:rRNA from 1 species